UACGAAGGGGGCUAGCGUUGUUCGGAAUUACUGGGCGUAAAGCGUGCGCAGGCGGUUGUGCAAGACCGAUGUGAAAUCCCCGGGCUUAACCUGGGAAUGGCAUUGGUGACUGCACGGCUAGAGUGUGUCAGAGGGGGGUAGAAUUCCACGUGUAGCAGUGAAAUGCGUAGAGAUGUGGAGGAAUACCGAUGGCGAAGGCAGCCCCCUGGGUCAAGAUUGACGCUCAUGCACGAAAGCGUGGGGAGCAAACAGG
rnacentral:rRNA from 1 species